rnacentral:rRNA from 1 species
AGCGAACGUUUGCGGCGGGCUUAACACAUGCAAGUCGAACGGGCUGUUCCUUCGGGGCAGUCAGUGGCGCACGGGUGCGUAACACGUAGGUAAUCAACCCUCUGGUUGGGGAUAACACUUCGAAAGGAGUGCUAAUACCCGGUAUGGCGCAGCGGUCUUCGGAUCGCGGCGAGAAAGACCCGCAAGGGUUGCCAGAGGACGAGCCUGCGGCCCAUCAGCUAGUUGGCGAGGUAACGGCUCACCAAGGCGGAAGACGGGUAGCUGGUCUGAGAGGAUGAUCAGCCACACUGGAACUGAGACACGGUCCAGACUCCUACGGGAGGCAGCAGUGGGGAAGU